GCCCCCAUCGUCUAGGGGACUAGGACGUAGCCCUUUCAAGGCUAAGACCGGGGUUCGAAUCCCCGUGGGGGUA
rnacentral:tRNA from 2 species